rnacentral:rRNA from 1 species
GACGAACGCUGGCGGCGUGCUUAACACAUGCAAGUCGAACGGAAAGGCCCUGCUUUUGUGGGGUGCUCGAGUGGCGAACGGGUGAGUAACACGUGAGUAACCUGCCCUUGACUUUGGGAUAACUUCAGGAAACUGGGGCUAAUACCGGAUAGGAGCUCCUGCUGCAGGGUGGGGGUUGGAAAGUUUCGGCGGUUGGGGAUGGACUCGCGGCUUAUCAGCUUGUUGGUGGGGUAGUGGCUUACCAAGGCUUUGACGGGUAGCCGGGCUGAGAGGGUGACCGGCCACACUAGGACUGAGAUACGGCCCAGACUACUACGGGAGGCAGCAGUGGAGAAUAUUGCACAAGGGGCGGAAGCCUGAUGCAACAACGCCGCGUGCGGGAUGACGGCCUGCGGGUUGUAAACCGCUUUCGCCUGUGACGAAGCGUGAGUGACGGUAAUGGGUAAAGAAGCACCGGCUAACUACGUG